GACGAACGCUGGCGGCAUGCUUAACACAUGCAAGUCGAACGGAAAGGCCCUGCUUUUGUGGGGUGCUCGAGUGGCGAACGGGUGAGUAACACGUGAGUAACCUGCCCUUGACUUUGGGAUAACUUCAGGAAACUGGGGCUAAUACCGGAUAGGAGCUCCUGCUACAUGGUGGGGGUUGGAAAGUUUCGGCGGUUGGGGAUGGACUCGCGGCUUAUCAGCUUGUUGGUGGGGUAGUGGCUUACCAAGGCUUUGACGGGUAGCCGGCCUGAGAGGGUGACCGGCCACAUUGGGACUGAGAUACGGCCCAGACUCCUACGGGAGGCAGCAGUGGGGAAUAUUGCACAAUGGGCGGAAGCCUGAUGCAGCAACGCCGCGUGCGGGAUGACGGCCUUCGGGUUGUAAACCGCUUUCGCCUGUGACGAAGCGUGAGUGACGGUAAUGGGUAAAGAAGCACCGGCUAACUACGU
rnacentral:rRNA from 1 species